GGAUGUGAGGGCAAUCUGACUGUGACAUCUGUCACCCCAUUGAUCACCAGGGUUGAUUCAGCUGAUCUGACUGGCUAGGCGGGUGACCCCUUCCUACCUCACUGCUCCAUGUGUGUCCCUCCCGAAGCUGCAUGCUUGGUUGACGAGGACAACCUUCCCCAAUAGAAGGAGGACCGUCCUUCGGUCAAGGUGUAUGAGUAGCUGCCCUCCCCUGCUAGAACCUCCACACAAGUCGCAGAAUCUCUGACACCAAUGGACUUAAAGUUGAGUUAGUAGGGGUGAGCUUGAUAACCACGUGUGUCAGAAUAGAACAGUGCUCCCCAGGGUUGUCGGUGAUGGACUCUUUGGCAGUGGGU
rnacentral:snRNA from 1 species